AGAAGAGAGAGGGUGGCGAGGAAGAAGGGAGAGGAGAGGAAGAAGGGAGAGGAGAGGAGAGGAUGAAGAGAGAAGAGAGGAGAGGAAGAAGAGAGAGGAAGGAGAGGAAGAAGAGACAGGGAGGAGAGGAAGAAAAGAGAGGGAGGAGAGGAAGAAGAGACAGGGAGGAGAGGAAGAAGAGAGAGGGAGGAGAGGAUGAAGAGAGAGAGGAGAGGAAGAAGGGAGAGAGGAGAGGAAGAAGAGAGAGAGGAGAGGAAGAAGAGAGAGAGAGGAGAGGAAGAAGAGAGAGAGGAGAGGAAGAAGAGAGAGAGGAGAGGAAGAAGAGAGAGAGGAGAGGAAGAAGAGAGAGAGAGAGAGGAGAGGAAGAAGGGAGAGAGAGGAGAGGAAGAAGAGAGAGGGAGGAGAGGAAGAAGGGAGAGAGAGGAGAGGAAGAAGAGAGAGAGAGGAGAGGAAGAAGAGAGAGAGGAGAGGAAGAAGGGAGAGAGGAGAGGAAGAAGAGAGAGAGAGGAGAGGAAGAAGAGAGAGAGGAGAGGAAGAAGAGAGAGAGAGGAGAGGAAGAAGGGAGAGAGGAGAGGAAGAAGAGAGAGAGGAGAGGAAGAAGAGAGAGAGGAGAGGAAGAA
ensembl:lncRNA